rnacentral:ribozyme from 1 species
CCCUGGCUCAGCCGGCCACCUCAACGUGGUGCCAGGGACUAGUACUCUUUACUAGAGAGGAAGUCAAGCGCCUG